rnacentral:rRNA from 1 species
UACGUAGGGUGCAAGCGUUAUCCGGAAUUAUUGGGCGUAAAGAGCUCGUAGGCGGUUUGUCGCGUCUGCUGUGAAAACCCGAGGCUCAACCUCGGGCCUGCAGUGGGUACGGGCAGACUAGAGUGCGGUAGGGGAGAUUGGAAUUCCUGGUGUAGCGGUGGAAUGCGCAGAUAUCAGGAGGAACACCGGUGGCGAAGGCGGCUCACUGGCUCGUAUCUGACGCUCAGGCGCGACAGCGUGGGGAUCAAACAGG